rnacentral:tmRNA from 1 species
AUAGUUGAUAUAUUCUUUAAGUAUUUUAUAAUUAAUUGUUAGUUUAACUAACUAUAGCGAUAAACGAAUUUCGUAAUAACCAUUGCGGACGUGGGGGCAGUACCCACCACCUCCACCAUUACAACAUAUGGGGGUGAACUAGAAUCGACGAAUGUCUAAAAGCUAUUCUUUCGUUCGGAAUUGUUCCUCCGUAAAGGGCUAAUUUAUAAUUGCUAACGAAAGUUACGCACUUGCUGCAUAAUUAACUUAGGUUAAUUAAGUAGACGGGGUUUGGGGCACCUGGCAACAGAACGCCCCUCUU